AUGGGGGGCUUCAUCCCAUGGGGUCUGCAGGCGGAGGUGAGGCUGGAGGAGACCGGAGGCGGCCUCCAAAGCCCUGGGGCCUCCAUGAGGCUCCUGUGCAAGGCCUCGGGCUUCACCUUCGGUGACUAUGGCAUGGGAUGGAUGCGCCAAGCACCGGGACAGGGGCUCGAAUACGUUGCCGACAUUAACAGAUAUGGCAGCACCGACUACGCGCCAUCGGUGAAGGGCAGAGCCACCAUCAGCAGGGACAACUCCCAGGCCACAGUCACGCUGCAGAUGAGCGGCCUCGAGGCCAAGGAUACGGCCACUUACUACUGUGUGAAGGGUGCUUAUACUGGUGGUUAUAGUGCUGGUGCUUAUGGUGCUGGUAGUGCUGGUUAUGGUGCUUAUGGUGGUAUACCCGUUACCAGCACCAGAACCACCAUAACCACUGUAACUGACAGAACACCCACCAUAACCAGAGCCAUACCUACCAUUAGCAGCACUGGAACCACCAUCAUGCCAUAA